rnacentral:rRNA from 1 species
AUUGAACGCUGGCGGCAGGCCUAACACAUGCAAGUCGAACGGUAGCACAGAGAGCUUGCUCUCGGGUGACGAGUGGCGGACGGGUGAGUAACGUCUGGGAAACUGCCCGAUGGAGGGGGAUAACUACUGGAAACGGUAGCUAAUACCGCAUAACGUCGCAAGACCAAAGUGGGGGACCUUCGGGCCUCACACCAUCGGAUGUGCCCAGAUGGGAUUAGCUAGUAGGUGGGGUAAUGGCUCACCUAGGCGACGAUCCCUAGCUGGUCUGAGAGGAUGACCAGCCACACUGGAACUGAGACACGGUCCAGACUCCUACGGGAGGCAGCAGUGGGGAAUAUUGCACAAUGGGCGCAAGCCUGAUGCAGCCAUGCCGCGUGUAUGAAGAAGGCCUUCGGGUUGUAAAGUACUUUCAGCGGGGAGGAAGGCGGUGAAGUUAAUAGCUUCACCGAUUGACGUUACCCGCAGAAGAAGCACCGGCUAACUCCGUGCCAGCCGCCGUAAUAC